GCCUUCGUGGUGUAACGGUAGCACAGUCGGCCUAUGUUCGAGAGGUCCAGGUUCGAGUCCCGGCGAGGGCA
rnacentral:tRNA from 1 species